CAGCCGCCGCGGGAAUACGUAGGUGGCAAGCGUUGUCCGGAAUUAUUGGGCAUAAAGGGCUCGCAGGCGGUUUCUUAAGUCUGAUGUGAAAGCCCCCGGCUCAACCGGGGAGGGUCAUUGGAAACUGGGAAACUUGAGUGCAGAAGAGGAGAGUGGAAUUCCACGUGUAGCGGUGAAAUGCGUAGAGAUGCGGAGGAACACCAGUGGCGAAGGCGACUCUCUGGUCUGUAACUGACGCUGAGGAGCGAAAGCGUGGGGAGCGAACAGGAUUAGAUACCCCGGUAGUCCCUGUCUCUUAUAC
rnacentral:rRNA from 1 species